GCAGUACUAAUGAGGGAGUAGCGGGUCAUUUCGGAUACACCCCGAGAGGACCUGCGCAGUACGGCGGGCGGCGGUUGUUCCGCGUGCGAUGGCGUCGCUGCUGCUCCAGCGCGCAGAUCUUUGAACUACUUUAGCAUGAGUAUCUCAAGAUGCAGGGACUGACUGGAGGAUAAUUACUCUAAAAUUCAACAGGUGAACAAAAAAAAGUCCUAAAACAUUAAUUUUAAACCCAUACAAACAACUAAAAUCCAAAUAAGAUCCAGCUGAAGAUGCUGAGAUAAAUGUGGCUGUGAAAUAUGUAAUGUACAACAGUAAUGUGAUAUACAUUUUGGUCAAGUGGUUUAACAGAAUAUUGUGGAUCUUUUGUAAUGUCUUAGAGAUGUCCGAGUGAUGUCCAGAAAGUACACACUUAACACACACAGUACUCCAUUAUAAAAAAAGAAUGUUUAUUUUUCAUGAACACAGUGUAAUAUCUAAGAAUAUUUAUCAUUUUGGUCAUAAAACAGCUCAAAUACAGUCAAUUACAGAAACUGUCCAACAAAUUUUAAGACUUCUAAGACAUCACUAUAAAUUCAUAACUAUAGGCAGGCACCAAUCAAAUGACUAGCUAGUCAGUCUCCUUGGUACAUAAAAUUGCUUACAUGUUUUCUUAUUUGCCUCCAAUUGCAGAUAUGAACUGUGGGGGAAACCCUUUCUGCUUUUUGUGACCUUUUGCACAUCAUUUAGAGUCAACCUGUUUGCAAUCUUCUUUGAUGCUUUCAGACUUUAAUUCUUUUAUUGAGAUUCUUUUGUUGUAAUUUUUUUAUGUUCUGUUCAUUUUUAUCCUAAUUUGUUUACAAGUUUUGUUCUUUUUUUUGUUCUUGUUUCUGUGAGUGUUGUAUGUGGAGUGGAUGCUUGCACUGGUACAGUUGGGAAUCUUUCUGCUGUUGGGAGUUAAACUGAUGUGUUGUUGAGGUUUUGGACACCACAAAAGGGAACAUUUGAGAAGCAGUUUAACAUCCAAAUCUCAAGAACAAGCAUUCUGGGGGGAGGCAUUCUGCAGUGGCCACAGCUAAAAGGUGACAGUUUUUGGGGAGGCAGGAGUUGAAUAUGGGUGCUCAUGGAAAAGAAUCUAACAGAAGUGGUGACUUUGAGGGACCACAACUUAAGAUGGACAACUCUGAUGGACUUUGAAAGUGGCAUGUACAGGCCAAGGCAGAGAUUGUGAUGUUAUCCAUUCAUCCUCAGCUGAGAGUCAAGAGGAAUGAGAUCAGAUUGAGCUGGAGAUGAUCCACUUUCUUCAUACAGCUGAAGAUGAUCAGGGUGGGGACAGCAUCCUGUUAUACCGGUCACCUUUCUUCAGUGGCUCCCAGAACAAGGUCCUCGUUCACAGAAGAAGGAUCCUAACAUCUGUUACACUGUUGUAGCUGCAUGUGCCAAGAGAAUUGU